GACGAACGCUGGCGGCGUGCUUAACACAUGCAAGUCGAACGAUGAAGAAGAGAAACGCGAACUUCGGUUCAAAUUUCACUUCGGAUUAGUGGCAGACGGGUGAGUAACGCGUGAGCAACCUACCUCUUACAAAGGGAUAGCCUCGGGAAACCGUGAUUAAUACCAUAUGACACAUUCAUAAGGCAUCUUAAGAAUGUUAAAGCUACGGCGGUAAGAGAUGGGCUCGCGUCCCAUUAGCUAGUUGGUGAGGUAACGGCCCACCAAGGCGACGAUGGGUAACCGGCCUGAGAGGGUGAACGGUCACAUUGGAACUGAGACACGGUCCAAACUCCUACGGGAGGCAGCAGUGGGGAAUAUUGCACAAUGGAGGGAACUCUGAUGCAGCGACGCCGCAUGAGCGAUGAAGGAAUUCGUUUCGUAAAGCUCUGUUCUAUGGGAAGAAAAGGACUGUACCAUAGGAGAAAGCCCCGGCUAAAUACGUG
rnacentral:rRNA from 1 species